AGAAAGAAUUACGGAAGCACAUAAUCUUCGCAUCGCCAUCGAUGCAUUACAUCAUGAAAAUGAUGUAAGAAGGAUGUAGCCGACUACCGCACUAGUUCGGCAAUGAUCGUCAUGCAUGUGUCUUGUGUAAAUUGUG
rnacentral:misc_RNA from 1 species